GUCUUUUUUGUUUUUUAAAAUAAAAAAGUGUGCCUGCCCGGUGACUUUUUAUUGGUUUAACGGCCGCGGUAUUAUGACCGUGCAAAGGUAGCAUAAUCAUUAGUCUUUUAAUUGAGGACUGGUAUGAAUGGCGUGACGGAGAUUUUCUUUUUUAAUAAUUUGUGUUGAAUUUUAAAAUAUUGUGAAGAUGCAUUAAUGAAUUUAAAAGACGAGAAGACCCUAUUAAGCUUGUAAGUUUAAUGAGAAUUAGAUAUAUAGUGUUGGUUUCGUUUGAUUUUGUGUUGGGGCGACAGGCAGUUAAGUGAAAAACUUGCUUUUAUAGUAAAUAUUGUCAGAUAUAUGUGGGUGUUAGAUCCAUGGUUUUAUAUGAUAAGAGGAUAAAGUUACUAUAGGGAUAACAGCGUAAUUAUGACGGAGAGUUCAAAUUGAUGUUGUAGAUUGCGACCUCGAUGUUGAAUCAGGAUAUUUAUAGGGCUGCAGUAGGCCUAUAAAAUAGUCUGUUCGACUAUUAAAAUCCUACG
rnacentral:rRNA from 1 species